AUUGAACGCUGGCGGCAUGCCUUACACAUGCAAGUCGAACGGUAGAGGGGGCAACCCCUUGAGAGUGGCGAACGGGUGAGUAAUAUAUCGGAACGUGCCCAGUCGUGGGGAUAACGUAGCGAAAGUUACGCUAAUACCGCAUACGAUCUAAGGAUGAAAGCGGGGGACUCGCAAGAGCCUCGCGCGAUUGGAGCGGCCGAUAUCAGAUUAGGUAGUUGGUGGGGUAAGGGCUCACCAAGCCAACGAUCUGUAGCUGGUCUGAGAGGACGACCAGCCACACUGGAACUGAGACACGGUCCAGACUCCUACGGGAGGCAGCAGUGGGGAAUUUUGGACAAUGGGCGCAAGCCUGAUCCAGCAAUGCCGCGUGCAGGAUGAAGGCC
rnacentral:rRNA from 1 species